rnacentral:rRNA from 1 species
AACGAACGCUGGCGACAUGCCUAACACAUGCAAGUCGAACGAGACUUCGGGUCUAGUGGCGCACGGGUGCGUAACGCGUGGGAACCUGCCCUUAGGUUCGGAAUAACAGUUAGAAAUGACUGCUAAUACCGGAUAAUGUCUUCGGACCAAAGAUUUAUCGCCUUUGGAUGGGCCCGCGUUGGAUUAGCUAGUUGGUGGGGUAAAGGCCUACCAAGGCGACGAUCCAUAGCUGGUCUGAGAGGAUGAUCAGCCACACUGGGGCUGAGACACGGCCCAGGCUCUACGGGAGGCAGCAGUGGGGAAUAUUGGACAAUGGGCGAAAGCCUGAUCCAGCAAUGCCGCGUGAGUGAUGAAGGCCUUAGGGUUGUAAAGCUCUUUUACUGGGGAUGAUAAUGACAGUACCCAGAGAAUAAGCUCCGGCUAACUCCGUGC